UUCUCAGCCCUCUGCUCAGAGACCAGGAGGGACACAACAUAAUGGCAACAAUGACAUCAGAGGGAGAAAGUCCUCGUAAAGCAGACUUUCCUCAAUCUGGGGUGCCUUUCAAUUCUGACAGUGAUCCCAGCCUGUCCCCUACUUACCCCUUCUGGUUCUGAUUGUUCCUUCCACCACACUGUCCAAGAAGCAAGUCCAGCCCCUAGAAGCUUGAGUUACAGAAAGACUAACACAAAGAUGCGCACUCGGUGCCCCUUUUCCUCAUAUUGAGGGAAGAAGACUGUGCUGUAUGGACAGGUGAUUCUGAUGCACGUUAACAAGUGAGAACCAUUGGGCUGAAAUGAGAAGGGGACAUAAUCUAAUCUGAUUGGUCACCUUGCUGUGGUGGACACAACGUUGAGGCACAAGAGUAAGUGUCCAGCCUGAACGGUCUCUGAAUAACUGCGUGAACCAGAGAAUGGACAAGCUGAGGACUAGAACAAAUGUUUGAAGAUAGAGUUCCUGGGGCACAGAGAGGCUGUCUCCCCGACAGAGGCUCGCGAGCUCCUCCCUUCCAUCCUCCAUCUGUGUGAGCCUUUCAACAGCUGCUCCCUGCAUUCAUGUCUCCAUCUCGGAGACUAAAAAAGCCUCAGAGAGUUUCUGUGAACUACUUGUAAGAAUUCAUCAAGGGCCAGCAGGCAGUCCUGAAGUUCUGAUAAAUAAAGCAGGUCCAAGGGCAGUUUUAAAGGACAAGAAAGGGAGGCUGGGGGGCCAGUGGUUAGAGGGGACUUAAGAAA